UACGUAGGGCGCAAGCGUUAUCCGGAAUUAUUGGGCGUAAAGAGCUCGUAGGCGGUGUGUCACGUCGGCCGUGAAAACCUGCAGCUUAACUGUGGGCGUGCGGUCGAUACGGGCAUCACUGGAGUUCGGCAGGGGAGACUGGAAUUCCUGGUGUAGCGGUGAAAUGCGCAGAUAUCAGGAGGAACACCGGUGGCGAAGGCGGGUCUCUGGGACGGUACUGACGCUGAGACGCGAAAGCGUGGGGAGCGAACAGG
rnacentral:rRNA from 1 species